GACGAACGCUGGCGGCGUGCCUAAUACAUGCAAGUAGAACGCUGAAGGAGGAGCUUGCUCUUCUGGAUGAGUUGCGAACGGGUGAGUAACGCGUAGGUAACCUGCCUGGUAGCGGGGGAUAACUAUUGGAAACGAUAGCUAAUACCGCAUAACAGUAGAUGUUGCAUGACAUUUACUUAAAAGGUGCAAUUGCAUCACUACCAGAUGGACCUGCGUUGUAUUAGCUAGUUGGUGGGGUAACGGCUCACCAAGGCGACGAUACAUAGCCGACCUGAGAGGGUGAUCGGCCACACUUGGACUGAGACACGGCCCAGACUCCUACGGGAGGCAGCAGUAGGGAAUCUUCGGUAAUGGACGGAAGUCUGACCGAGCAACGCCGCGUGAGUGAAGAAGGUUUUCGGAUCGUAAAGCUCUGUUGUAAGAGAAGAACGAGUGUGAGAGUGGAAAGUUCACACUGUGACGGUAUCUUACCAGAAAGGGACGGCUAACUACGUG
rnacentral:rRNA from 1 species